rnacentral:rRNA from 1 species
GACGAACGCUGGCGGCGUGCUUAACACAUGCAAGUCGAACGGAAAGGCCCUGCUUUUGUGGGGUGCUCGAGUGGCGAACGGGUGAGUAACACGUGAGUAACCUGCCCUUGACUUCGGGAUAACUUCAGGAAACUGGGGCUAAUACCGGAUAGGAGCUCCUGCUGCAUGGCGGGGGUUGGAAAGUUUCGGCGGUUGGGGAUGGACUCGCGGCUUAUCAGCUUGUUGGUGGGGUAGUGGCUUACCAAGGCUUUGACGGGUAGCCGGCCUGAGAGGGUGACCGGCCACAUUGGGACUGAGAUACGGCCCAGACUCCUACGGGAGGCAGCAGUGGAGAAUAUUGCACAAUGGGCGGAAGCCUGAUGCAGCAACGCCGCGUGCGGGAUGACGGCCUUCGGGUUGUAAACCGCUUUCGCCUGUGACGAAGCGUGAGUGACGGUAAUGGGUAAAGAAGCACCGGCUAACUACGUG